AUGGAUGUGAUGAAUAUUUGCCCAGAUGAUCGAAUCUGAAAUAACUGAGCGCUCAAUUCAUGUUUCUCCUUUUGGAGAAAUUCAAGCUAGAAAUCUGAUCCAUCUUCAAAAAUGUGUUUUGUUUAAUUAGAAUUAUUUGAUUUUUAUUAUGUGUUUUGAUAAUUAAGAGAGUGGAAAUGAUGAUUAUUUCCCCAGAUGAUCGAAGUUGAUUAUACUGUGCGCAUUUAAUUAUAAUAUUCUCUAUUAUUAUAUCAUAGAGAAUCCAAGCCAGAAAUCUGAUCCUAUCUCUGUUUUUUCUUGAUUAAAAUUCGAGUUCCUCUGAUGAUGAUUCAAAUAAAAACUUUCGUUCUUCCGAGGAUGAUAUCCCUCCAUGCGGAAACAGUUAUUGGAGACCUGAACUGAAGAGGC
rnacentral:lncRNA from 1 species